rnacentral:rRNA from 1 species
GGGUUGUGAGGUUAAGCGACUAAGCGUACACGGUGGAUGCCUAGGCAGUCAGAGGCGAUGAAGGGCGUGCUAAUCUGCGAUAAGCGUCGGUAAGCUGAUAUGAAGCGUUAUACCCGACGAUACCCGAAUGGGGAAACCCAGUGUGUUUCGACACACUAUCAUGACAUGAAUACAUAGUGUCAUGAGGCGAACCGGGGGAACUGAAACAUCUCAGUACCCCGAGGAAAAGAAAUCAACCGAGAUUCCCCCAGUAGCGGCGAGCGAACGGGGAGGAGCCCAGAACCUGAAUCAGUUUGUGUGUUAGUGGAAGCGUCUGGAAAGUCGCACAGUAAAGGGUGAUAGUCCCGUACACAAAAAUGCACAGAUUGUGAGUUCGAUGAGUAGGGCGGGACACGUGACAUCCUGUCUGAAUAUGGGGGGACCAUCCUCCAAGGCUAAAUACUCCUGACUGACCGAUAGUGAACCAGUACCGUGAGGGAAAGGCGAAAAGAACCCCGGCGAGGGGAGUGAAAUAGAACCUGAAACCGUGUACGUACAAGCAGUGGGAGCCUACUUGUUAGGUGACUGCGUACCUUUUGUAUAAUGGGUCAGCGACUUAUAUUCUGUAGCAAGGUUAACCGUAUAGGGGAGCCGCAGGGAAACCGAGUCUUAACUGGGCGUUAAGUUGCAGGGUAUAGACCCGAAACCCGGUGAUCUAGCCAUGGGCAGGUUGAAGGUUGGGUAACACUAACUGGAGGACCGAACCGACUAAUGUUGAAAAAUUAGCGGAUGACUUGUGGCUGGGGGUGAAAGGCCAAUCAAACCGGGAGAUAGCUGGUUCUCCCCGAAAGCUAUUUAGGUAGCGCCUCGUGAAUUCAUCUUCGGGGGUAGAGCACUGUUUCGGCUAGGGGGUCAUCCCGACUUACCAACCCGAUGCAAACUACGAAUACCGAAGAAUGUUAUCACGGGAGACACACGGCGGGUGCUAACGUUCGUCGUGAAGAGGGAAACAACCCAGACCGCCAGCUAAGGUCCCAAAGUCAUGGUUAAGUGGGAAACGAUGUGGGAAGGCAUAGACAGCCAGGAUGUUGGCUUAGAAGCAGCCAUCAUUUAAAGAAAGCGUAAUAGCUCACUGGUCGAGUCGGCCUGCGCGGAAGAUGUAACGGGGCUAAACCAUGCACCGAAGCUGCGGCAGCGACACGUAGUGUUGUUGGGUAGGGGAGCGUUCUGUAAGCCUGCGAAGGUGGCCUGUGAGGGCUGCUGGAGGUAUCAGAAGUGCGAAUGCUGACAUAAGUAACGAUAAUGCGGGUGAAAAACCCGCACGCCGGAAGACCAAGGGUUCCUGUCCAACGUUAAUCGGGGCAGGGUGAGUCGACCCCUAAGGCGAGGCUGAAAAGCGUAGUCGAUGGGAAACAGGUUAAUAUUCCUGUACUCGGUGUUACUGCGAAGGGGGGACGGAGAAAGCUAGGUUAUCCGGGCGACGGUUGUCCCGGUUUAAGCGUGAAGGUGGGUGACUUUGGUAAAUCCGGGUCAUCGUUAACACUGAGGCGUGAUGACGAGUCACUACGGUGAUGAAGUAACCGAUGCUACGCUUCCAGGAAAAGCCUCUAAGCUCCAGGUAACAUCAAAUCGUACCCCAAACCGACACAGGUGGUCAGGUAGAGAAUACUCAGGCGCUUGAGAGAACUCGGGUGAAGGAACUAGGCAAAAUGGUGCCGUAACUUCGGGAGAAGGCACGCUGAUGGUAGGUGAAGUGACUUGCUCAUGGAGCUGAAAUCAGUCGAAGAUACCAGCUGGCUGCAACUGUUUAAUAAAAACACAGCACUGUGCAAACACGAAAGUGGACGUAUACGGUGUGACGCCUGCCCGGUGCCGGAAGGUUAAUUGAUGGGGUCAGCCGCAAGGCGAAGCUCUUGAUCGAAGCCCCGGUAAACGGCGGCCGUAACUAUAACGGUCCUAAGGUAGCGAAAUUCCUUGUCGGGUAAGUUCCGACCUGCACGAAUGGCGUAAUGAUGGCCAGGCUGUCUCCACCCGAGACUCAGUGAAAUUGAACUCGCUGUGAAGAUGCAGUGUACCCGCGGCAAGACGGAAAGACCCCGUGAACCUUUACUAUAGCUUGACACUGAACCUUGAGCCUUGAUGUGUAGGAUAGGUGGGAGGCUUUGAAGUGUGGACGCCAGUCUGCGUGGAGCCAACCUUGAAAUACCACCCUUUAAUGUUUGAUGUUCUAACGUGGACCCGUAAUCCGGGUUGCGGACAGUGUCUGGUGGGUAGUUUGACUGGGGCGGUCUCCUCCCAAAGCGUAACGGAGGAGCACGAAGGUUAGCUAAUCCUGGUCGGACAUCAGGAGGUUAGUGCAAAGGCAUAAGCUAGCUUGACUGCGAGAGUGACAGCUCGAGCAGGUGCGAAAGCAGGUCUUAGUGAUCCGGUGGUUCUGAAUGGAAGGGCCAUCGCUCAACGGAUAAAAGGUACUCCGGGGAUAACAGGCUGAUACCGCCCAAGAGUUCAUAUCGACGGCGGUGUUUGGCACCUCGAUGUCGGCUCAUCACAUCCUGGGGCUGAAGUAGGUCCCAAGGGUAUGGCUGUUCGCCAUUUAAAGUGGUACGCGAGCUGGGUUUAGAACGUCGUGAGACAGUUCGGUCCCUAUCUGCCGUGGGCGUUGGAAGAUUGAGAGGGGUUGCUCCUAGUACGAGAGGACCGGAGUGAACGCACCACUGGUGUACGGGUUGUGAUGCCAAUUGCAUUGCCCGGUAGCUAAGUGCGGAAGAGAUAACCGCUGAAAGCAUCUAAGCGGGAAACUUGCCUCGAGAUGAGUCUUCCCUGGGCACUUGAUGCCCCUGAAGGGCCGUUGAAGACGACGACGUAGAUAGGCUGGGUGUGUAAGCGUAGCGAUACGUUGAGCUAACCAGUACUAAUGACCCGAGAGGCUUAACCUUACAACACCGAAGGUGUUU